AGUGAACGCUGGCGGUAGGCCUAACACAUGCAAGUCGAACGGCAGCACAGUAAGAGCUUGCUCUUACGGGUGUCGAGUGUCGGACGGGUGAGGAAUACAUCGGAAUCUACUUUUUCGUGGGGGAUAACGUAGGGAAACUUACGCUAAUACCGCAUACGACCUACGUGUGAAAGCAGGGGAUCUUCGGACCUUGCGCGAUUGAAUGAGCCGAUGUCGGAGUAGCUAGUUGGCGGGGUAAAGGCCCACCAAGGCGACGAUCCGUAGCUGGUCUGAGAGGAUGAUCAGACAAACUGGAACUGAGACACGGUCCAGACUCCUACGGGAGGCAGCAGUGGGGAAUAUUGGACAAUGGGCGCAAGCCUGAUCCAGCCAUACCGCGUGGGUGAAGAAGGCCUUCGGGUUGUAAAGCCCUUUUGUUGGGAAAGAAAAGCAGCAGGUUAAUACCCCGCUGUUCUGACGGUACCCAAAGAAUAAGCACCGGCUAACUUCGUG
rnacentral:rRNA from 1 species